GAUGAACGCUGGCGGCGUGCCUAAUACAUGCAAGUCGAGCGAACGGACGAGAAGCUUGCUUCUCUGAUGUUAGCGGCGGACGGGUGAGUAACACGUGGAUAACCUACCUAUAAGACUGGGAUAACUUCGGGAAACCGUAGCUAAUACCGGAUAAUAUUUUGAACCGCAUGGUUCAAAAGUGAAAGACGGUCUUGCUGUCACUUAUAGAUGGAUCCGCGCUGCAUUAGCUAGUUGGUAAGGUAACGGCUUACCAAGGCAACGAUGCAUAGCCGACCUGAGAGGGUGAUCGGCCACACUGGACCUGAGACACGGUCCAGACUCCUACGGGAGGCAGCAGUAGGGAAUCUUCCGCAAUGGGCGAAAGCCUGACGGAGCAACGCCGCGUGAGUGAUGAAGGUCUUCGGAUCGUAAAACUCUGUUAUUAGGGAAGAACAUAUGUGUAAGUAACUGUGCACAUCUUGACGGUACCUAAUCAGAAAGCCACGGCUAACUACGUG
rnacentral:rRNA from 1 species